UAUUAGAUAAGCUAAGUUUAAGCUUUUGGGUUCAUACCCCAACGAUAGGAUCUUCUAAUAA
rnacentral:tRNA from 1 species